rnacentral:lncRNA from 1 species
GGCACAAAUAUGCAGAAUUUCUUAUCUGAUCAAACAGCAGCUCAAGGGAAACAACACGCAGGGGGAUCUAACAGCCAAAAACACAUCUUCCCAGCGUUUUGUUUCCUUCUCACGGGCGCGGCCUCCCCCCGCCGGGCCGCGGCCCCACCGCUCCUCGCAGCCCCCGGGCGCCGCCCCGCGGGACCCUGGAGCGGGCGGACCGCCUCCUCCCGGGCGCUGGCGGAAGCGGC